CCUUAAAGAAGCGUUCUUUGAAGUGCUCACACAGAUUGUCUGAUAGAAAGUGAAAAGCAAGGCGUCUUGCGAAGCAGACUGAUACGUCCCCUUCGUCUAGAGGCCCAGGACACCGCCCUUUCACGGCGGUAACAGGGGUUCGAAUCCCCUAGGGGACGCCACUUGCUGGUUUGUGAGUGAAAGUCACCUGCCUUAAUAUCUCAAAACUCAUCUUCGGGUGAUGUUUGAGGUAUUUGCUCUUUAAAAAUCUGGAUCAAGCUGAAAAUUGAAACACUGAACAACGAAAGUUGUUCGUGAGUCUCUCAAAUUUUCGCAACACGAUGGUGAAUCGUAAGAAACAUCUUCGGGUUGUG
rnacentral:misc_RNA from 1 species